ACGGGUGAGUAAUGCCUAGGAAUCUGCCUGGUAGUGGGGGAUAACUCGGGGAAACUCGAGCUAAUACCGCAUACGUCCUACGGGAGAAAGCGGGGGAUCUUCGGACCUCGCGCUACCAGAUGAGCCUAGGUCGGAUUAGCUAGUUGGUGGGGUAAAGGCUCACCAAGGCGACGAUCCGUAGCUGGUCUGAGAGGAUGAUCAGCCACACUGGAACUGAGACACGGUCCAGACUCCUACGGGAGGCAGCAGUGGGGAAUAUUGGACAAUGGGCGAAAGCCUGAUCCAGCCAUGCCGCGUGUGUGAAGAAGGUCUUCGGAUUGUAAAGCACUUUAAGUUGGGAGGAAGGNCAGUAAGCUAAUACCUUGCUGUUUUGACGUUACCGACAGAAUAAGCACCGGCUAACUUCGUGCCAGCAGCCGCGGUAAUACGAAGGGUGCAAGCGUUAAUCGGA
rnacentral:rRNA from 2 species